rnacentral:rRNA from 1 species
ACCCAAAUGUAAUAGUUAAGGGCUAUUUAAAGGGGGUACAGCCCCUUUAAAAAAGGACACAACCUCCACCAGCGGAUAACCCCCGUACAUCCAACCCGGUGGGCCUUAAAGCAGCCACCCCCAAAGAUUGCGUCAAAGCUCCAUCAACUAAAAACCCCCAAAACCAAUGCGACUCCCUACAUCCACAGCAGGCCAACCUAUAACAAUAGAUGAAUUAAUGCUAGAACGAGUAACCAGGACACCACGUCCCCCCAAGCGCUAGCCUACACACCAUUAACAGCAAAACCUCAAUAAUAACUACCCCCACCGUUGAACACACCCUGUCAACCCAACUCAGGAGCGCACACUGGAGUGAUCAAAGUCUACAAAAGGAACUCGGCAAACCUAAGGCCCGACUGUUUACCAAAAACAUAGCCUUCAGCCAAACAAGUAUUGAAGGUGAUGCCUGCCCGGUGACAUCAUGUUUAACGGCCGCGGUAUCCUAACCGUGCAAAGGUAGCGCAAUCAAUUGUCCCAUAAAUCGAGACCUGUAUGAAUGGCUAAACGAGGCCUUAACUGUCUCCUGUAGACAAUCGGUGAAACUGAUCUCUCUGUACAAAAGCAGAGAUAAGCACAUAAGACGAGAAGACCCUGUGGAACUUCAAAAUCAAUAGCCACCCCACCCAACUCACUAGCCUACCUGGGCCCACCACCUAAGACACUGGCUAACAUUUUUAGGUUGGGGCGACCUUGGAGAAAAACAGACCCUCCAAAAACAGGGCCAAACCCCUAACUAAGAGCAACCCCUCAACGUGCCAACAGCACCCAGAUCCAGUAAAUCUGAUCAAUGGACCAAGCUACCCCAGGGAUAACAGCGCAAUCUCCCCCAAGAGCCCCUAUCGACGAGGAGGUUUACGACCUCGAUGUUGGAUCA